UGUGGGGAUGUCUGUUUGUGGAUGUGUGGAUGUGUGGAUGUGGAUGUCUGUGUAUGUGUGGAUGUCUGUGUGUGGAUGUCUGUUUGUGGAUGUGGAUGUCUGUGUGUGGAUGUCUGUUUGUGGAUGUGGAUGUCUGUUUGUGGAUGUCUGUGUAUGUGUGGAUGUCUGUUUGUGGAUGUCUGUGUAUGUGUGGAUGUCUGUUUGUGGAUGUCUGUGUAUGUGUGGAUGUCUGUUUGUGGAUGUG